CAAAGUGAAAACAGACUCCCUGCAUCAGAGCCGACCUAUUGGUAUAAGAGAUUUCACUUGCAGCCCAGCGGCGUUUGUGAUAAAUAGAUCCACAUAGGAUUGCCUGGUUUCAUUUUUCAUGUAUGUGGGCUUCUCGGGACACCUCUCACUUUCCCAACUUUUUAUAUCUUUUUUUUUUUCUUUGAGACGGAGUCUGGCUCUGUUGCCCAGGCUGGAGUGCAAUGGCAUGAUCUCGGCUCCCUGCAACCUCCACCUCCUGGAUUCAAGUGAUUCUCCUGCCUCAGCCUCCCGAGUAGCUGGGAUUGCAGGCGUCCACCACCACACCUGGCUACCAAUUUUUAUAUCUUAAUGGCCUUUCCAGAACUUUCCAGAACAUGUCUUCUGGUUGAGUGAGGAAGAGGUUUCAGUUUGGUGAUGGCAACGUCCUUAAGACUUCACUUGCUUCCCUCUCUCUGUUCUUUUGAGAGCGGGUCUCCACCAAGCAUUUUAGCAGGGUCUCACUCUGUCACCCCAGGCUGGAGUGCAGUGGCAGGAUGGCAGCUCACUGCAGCCUCGACCACCCUGGCUCAAGCUAUCCUCCCACCUCAGCCUAAGAGAAACUCUUGGAACGGAAAACCAAAUACCACAUAUCCUCAGUUAUAAGUGGGAGCUAAAUGAUGAGAACACGUGGACACAAAGAGGGGAACAGCAGACACCGAGGCCUACUUGAGGGUGGAAGUUGGGAGGAGGGAGAGGAGCAGAAAAGAUAACUUUUGGGUACUGGGCUUAAUACCCGGGUGAUGAAAUAAUCUGUACAACAAACCCCCAUGAGAUGAGUUUUCCUGUGUAACACCGAACCUAAAAUAAAAG
rnacentral:lncRNA from 1 species